GCAAAUGCCACAUCUCAGUGAGAACCUAUAACUCUCCAAGACUGCUGUGCUUGUAAGUUACCUUUCCCUUUACUUUUCUACCUUUAUUUCUCUGUCUCCCAUUCUUUUUGACUUUGUGGUGAGCCUUGCAGAGAACGCUUUCUUGGUGGUAUUCUAGGGCUUAUCACAUAGGUUGCCAGUAGUCAUUGGAUGACUUGAUAUUCUCAGCUCUUAUUCUGUUGUUUCCUGCUCUGUCUCAUCCCCAAACUAUACAAUACUAUUUUGGACUUUUUAACAGAGUGAGUAUGUCUUAAGAAUCAGAACUGACUCAUAUGGUUAGCUUUUGGGGGAUUGCUUGUUGUGAUAUACAGUACUGGUUCUACUCUGUGCUUAUGAGAGACUCCCAGACCUUACAGCCUUGGUAUGUAAGGGAUUCUUCCAGUCUCUGAAAGCUGUAGGUUGUACAAAGGUAGAGACAAGAGGCAAUAAGGCCAUAUUAAGUGUUAUCCUUUCAGCCAAUUUCUCACAGGAUGACCCAAGACAAUUUAACCCCAUUAUUUUAUUUCACUUUUGUAUCUUUCAGGAUAUAUUCAGACAUCCCUCUUUUUCUGCCUAAAAGAGUAGAAUAAUAACUAAUGAUGGGAUGAUGCUUUGUGGUUUUCAUAGUACUUCCAUAUAUUCUAUCUUAUGUGUUUUUCAAAACAAUAUUGUAAGGUAAGAAAGACUGGUAAAUUUUUUUACCUCUUUUUACUUUCUAUAUUUAUACAUAACACCAAAAUUAAGUGAACAUUUGAGUAAGCUUUUGUCAUUCUGCUCCACAGGCAGGAAAACUGAAGCCCAGGGAGGUGAAGGGAUUGCCUAAGAUCCUUGGAUGGAAGUUGAAGAAUUCAGGUCUCAAGUGAAGCCUCCUAUCAGACUCUCUGCCUGGCCUGAGAUAUCCAGUUAACACCUGCAAUUCAGAAUACCCUCUCACCCAGCAAUAAAGCAUCCAGCCUUUGCAUCUGUAACAACCUCCUCUGUAAUUUGUGCAUUCUAUGGAUGUUCCAAAUCAUAAUACAAUCCAUUCAUGACUUCAGACAGAUGAAAACAGUUCCUUCUAAAAACAGAGGCUGAUGUUUUUAAAAGACAAUAAGAGAAGAAUGUGAGUUCCCCAUGGCUGCAGUAGAAGGUGCUAGAUGAGAGGAGCAUCUCCAGAGCACGGAAGACAAAGCAGCCUUAUCCUCACCUUUUCCACCUCAAUUUCCAUUUUCCUUCAAGGCAAAACUCCCACUUCUGGCAGAUUAAAUGAAAUGAAGACACUGAGCUCUGCAAGUACACUGCUUUUUGAAUCCCAGAGAUCACAUCAGCAUUUGCUGCCCACUUUCUCCCUCCAGCAUCUUCCGCAGCCUAGUCAUACAUUGUGUGCAUCAGGCCUUCACCAGCAUGCUAAGAUUUGUCCAAGAGUCUUGAUGUCCUAAACGCAAGUGACAUGUAAAGCUUGGAUCCCAAGGUCAAACAGCAUGACUUGUGGAUAACUGAACUUGCUUGUCAAAUGCCUCUUUAAAAAGCGAGUGAAGAUAAUUGCAAAUCAGCUGGAAGUGCUGCCAAGAUAUGACCUCCAGGAAGGCCCAGAAGACAAGUGAUAUUGUGUGGACUGCUACAGCGCAAUGUCUAACUGAUUCAAAAUGAAGAAUCAAUUUGAAAUUAAGAUGAGGAAAGGCAUCCAGCACUUAUAUUAUAGCAAAAAACAUUGUCACCAGGCCCUGGGAAAGAUGAGACCACCUCCCUUCCCUUCUCAGGCUCCUUUUCCCUGUCAGACUGUAGCUCUUAAAGGCUGUCAUCCUCCAAGGGUAUUCCCUAAGUACAGCAUAGCAUCUCUGUUACCCUUUGAAUUCAACAAUAUUGAUCUCCUCCAACAUUUUCAUUCCUUUAGUCAAAAGUCAGCUGUCAAACGCGAGGCACAAGUGCAACUUUAAGGAAUUCAUGGCCAAUAUUUGUCAUGUCAUUUCAUGGAUUGUCUGCAGGCACAUAAAACAUACAAUGAGGAUACUGAUCCAAGAUACAUGGCACACAAUUAAAUUGUGAAAAAACAUGACUCUGAGUCCAGAAGUUCUUAUUUUUUCGCAGUCUUCAGAGUAUUGUAUAGGCCCCUUGAAAAAUAAAUUUGCAGAGUGUGAAUGUUAAUUUACUUUCAACUUCAGAAAACAGAUUUUCCACAUUUAUAAAAGAGAAAUAGUGACUAUUCUAGACAAUAGAGCCCAGCAAGAAUACUCAAACUAGUAUAACCCUAUUUCUCUACACCACAAGGACAUCUUGUAGGCAUGUUCCUCUGAAGGACUUGAGAAUUACGCUUUUUUUCCUCCUUUUCUCUCUAAAAGCAAAAAGCACCAUAAUCUUGCUGUAGUAUAAUCAAAACAGAGCCCGAUGUGAAACCAGAGCCUUGAGUUUUCAUCCUUCGUUUGUUACUUAAAAGUUGACAUAAGAAAAAUUAUUUAACUUCUCUCAACCUCAGUUUCUUAUCUAUAAAAUGGGAUUAUAAAAUGUAUCUCACAAAGUAGUUAUGAGGAUUAAAGGAAAUGGAAAACAUGCUUAUUUGGUUUUGAAUCCUGGUUUGGUCUAACUAUCAAUAAAACUCAUUAAGAUGGAA